CUUAUUUUUGUUAUAAGAGUGACGGGCGAUAUGUGCAUGUUAAAUUUCAUUUUCAAUUAAAAUUUCUUUUAUUAUCCCUAUUUAGUUUCAAGUCCUACUUCUCAUUAUUUAUUCUGUUAAUGUUCCGCUCUUGUAUCAUUGUAUUCCACGCUUGCUUUACUGUAGUCCUUGUAUUGAUUUGUUUUACGAUUUCUUUAUUUUAGAAAUUAAAAUUUUUGUUUAUUUUUUAAAACAAUGAUAUAAGUAAUUAAAAGUAAAGUAUAUUUUAUCGUGGGUUAUCGAUUACAAUGCAGAAUCCCCUGAAUUGAUUUCACACCGCCAUUCUAAUUAGAUUCUUCUUAUUUAGAUACUCUCUGUGGUUUCUUUAAAA
rnacentral:rRNA from 1 species